ACAUACAACCACAGGGUGUGGAAAACAGGGCUUCCCGUCCGCUCAGCCGUACUUAAGCCACACGCCGGGAGGUUAGUAGUUGGGUGGGUGACCACCAGCGAAUCUCUUCUAUUAUAUAUC
rnacentral:rRNA from 1 species